UACAGAGGUCCCAAGCGUUGUUCGGAUUCAUUGGGCGUAAAGGGUGCGUAGGUGGCAGGGUAAGUUGGAUGUGAAAUCCCGGGGCUCAACCCCGGAACUGCAUUCAAUACUGCCCUGCUAGAGUACUGGAGAGGAGAUUUGAAUUCAUGGUGUAGCAGUGAAAUGCGUAGAUAUCAUGAGGAAGACCAGUGGCGAAGGCGGAUCUCUGGACAGUUACUGACACUGAGGCACGAAGGCCAGGGGAGCAAACGGG
rnacentral:rRNA from 1 species